GACGAACCGUGCGAACGUUGUUCGGAAUUAUUGGGCGUAAAGAGCUCGUAGGCGGUCUGUCGCGUCGGCUGUGAAAACCCGGGGCUCAACCCCGGGCCUGCAGUCGAUACGGGCAGACUAGAGUGCGGUAGGGGAGACUGGAAUUCCUGGUGUAGCGGUGAAAUGCGCAGAUAUCAGGAGGAACACCGAUGGCGAAGGCAGGUCUCUGGGCCGAUACUGACGCUGAGGAGCGAAAGCGUGGGGAGCGAACAGG
rnacentral:rRNA from 1 species